UGCGCCAGUAACGGCGAGUGAAGCGGCAACAGCUCAAAUUUGAAAUCUGGCCCCUCGGGGUCCGAGUUGUAAUUUGUAGAGGAUGCUUUUGGUGAGGUGCCGCCCGAGUUCCCUGGAACGGGACGCCACAGAGGGUGAGAGCCCCGUCUGGCUGGCCACCGAGCCUCUGUAAAGCUCCUUCGACGAGUCGAGUAGUUUGGGAAUGCUGCUCAAAAUGGGAGGUAUAUGUCUUCUAAAGCUAAAUAUUGGCCAGAGACCGAUAGCGCACAAGUAGAGUGAUCGAAAGAUGAAAAGCACCUUGAAAAGAGGGUUAAAUAGUACGUGAAAUUGUUGAAAGGGAAGCGCUUGUGACCAGACUUGGGCGCGGCGGAUCAUCCGGGGUUCUCUCCGGUGCACUUCGCCGCGUCUAGGCCAGCAUCAGUUCGUCGCGGGGGAAAAAGGCUUCGGGAACGUGGCUCCUCCGGGAGUGUUAUAGCCCGUUGCAUAAUACCCUGGGUGGACUGAGGACCGCGCAUCUGCAAGGAUGCUGGCGUAAUGGUCACCAGCGACCCGUCUUGAAACACGGACCAAGGAGUCGUCUUCGUAUGCGAGUGUUCGGGUGUCAAACCCCUACGCGUAAUGAAAGUGAACGCAGGUGAGAGCUUCGGCGCAUCAUCGACCGAUCCUGAUGUUCUCGGAUGGAUUUGAGUAAGAGCAUACGGGGCCGGACCCGAAAGAAGGUGAACUAUGCCUGUAUAGGGUGAAGCCAGAGGAAACUCUGGUGGAGGNUCGCAGCGGUUCUGACGUGCAAAUCGAUCGUCAAAUAUGGGCAUGGGGGGCGAAAGACUAAUCGAACCUUCUAGUAGCUC
rnacentral:rRNA from 1 species